rnacentral:lncRNA from 1 species
AGACGCCGCCUCUGCGCCCGCCCGAUGGCACACUUGGGCUGCGUGGCUGGCGGACCGCGGGAGCACGGAGGGGCCGAACGGAGAGCGUGCGAGGAAGUGGUCCUCAGUGAACGACAGCAGGGACAGGGUGCUCAGAGAGGCGCUGCGUAAGGGGCUUGAGGCUCGCCAGGAGGUCGGAGAGUGAUGGACGCCUCCUACCCCGCCCCUGAGCUCCCGCAAAGCUGCCGCUGCGCUCGGACCUGCGUUCCUGCAGCAAAGCGUCCUCUUCUUCCGCGGCCGCUGGCAGUAAUCACGGAAGUGUCUCCAUCUCCCACCCCUUUGUCUGUACGCGGCGCCCGGCCGAAGUCCUCGUGAGGGGCCCCGUGUUCCUUUGGCAGGCGCCCUCCGAGCCCGCGGCCGGGGCCGAACGGACUGAGAGAGUGAGGACGCGGCUGAAAUGUGGUUUGAUGCACGCGCUGCCUGACAGCCGAACCCCACCCCACUCCAAUCUGACACCCGACCGUUCCCGGCAGCGGACCUGCGGAAUUGCAGGACCCCUCCCGGCUCGGCCCCCGCCUUCCGCGGUCCGCGCAUGCGCCCCGUGGCCUUGGUGCAGGUGCAGCGGGGGCUCGCUUCAGAGCCGCGGUCUCACAGUCCCCCGGAGCAAGACGUGCAGACGCAGCAGACAGGGCGCGCAUGGAGUGGGGAAUGCGUAGUGGCAUAUCCACUUUCCUAGGUCACGGGAAUGGGCACCCCCAAAGCCGAAUCAUCCUCGUGCUCGCGGAGACCCUCUCCGGGCCGGAGGACCCUCAGUCUGCGUUAUGCCGCACCAUUGUUGGAGCCAGCAGAACGGCUAAGGUCACCUAGAGACUGAAGGGGCCUGUCUCGCAAAUGGAACCUGGGAGUAGGGUAAUCAAACAGCCAGGGUUGUCAGCACAAGGGGACUGAGAAGGAGAGGGUCAGGCUAGAGAGGAUUUUCCUCACUGUUUUCGAGACACGGGGGCGGGGGAGUGGGACUUAUCUGGGUCCCAGAGGCGACCUUCCUGGACACUGAUGCUAAAUCUCUCAAUAUUUCAAAGGAACUCACUGAUAGUAUCUGAACAGGCCGGGGCACCGACUAGCCACAUUGACUUCUCCUGAGUCCCGAGGUUGGCUGGGUGGUCUGCAGGACCAGUGCCGGCCUGUAAGGGCUGAGGACAGUCAGGCAGAAGGGCCCCGAGGAAAGUGAGGCUGAGCAUUGAGGACCCAUCUGGUGGAGCCAAGAAGUUCUGACUCAGGACCCUAGGUUUGCGGGUCACUGAAGCCUGUAAGCCUUAGAAGCAACAAAAUGGUCCGGUGCCUAUAGGGUAUCUCUCCACACCCCUGACCAGAGUUGCUCCUUCGUCUUUCUGCACCUCCGGGCCUAGGGGAUUUGCAAGACUCACAUCAGCGCGACCAGAAUCCCCCUCAGUUCUGCAGAGCACCCAUUCCCUGGUCUGCCUAACCAUUCCUUCCAUUGCCCCGGUCCUCCUAUAAUCAUUUGCCCACCCCGCCCCCGCCCCCAUGGCCAUGAUGGUGGCCUGCGCUAUAACCAACACAUCGGAACCGUCUGAAAGCGUGAAGGGGCCAAGACUGGAGCCCAGGGUCUUGGAGACUUAAAGAUACUACCCUAGGAGUUGCGCAGACAGCAGGACAAUCCAUGGCCCUGUUUAGCCCUGUUCCUCCUUCCUGUCGUGGGGCGCCCUCUGCCGUUCUCCCUUAGGCCAUUCCUGGGUGGCAUCAAGGUCCUCUUUAAUAAAGCAGCAGCCUAGAGCCACUCUACCUCUCCCGAGCUCCCCACGAUGGCUUACACACUCCUCUGCCUGGGUGUGUAGGAAGACUCAGGAGACCCAGCUUGGCUUCCUCACAUCCUGCAGCUGAAUGCACCUUCCAGGAGCCUAGAAGUGCCUGCCUACAGCCUGGCAGGGGUAAAGACGUCUAUCAAGAUUUCAGAGACAGAGUGGGGACGGGUGCCCUGGACCCUACACCUGAACAUUCAUGGGUUAGGAAUGCUUCCUUAAUAGGGCAGCCCUCCAACCACGGUGUGUUCUUUAAGGAUGUUGGGUAAAGAGGACUUAUCCUUGCCUGGCAUGGCUGCCCCAGGGUCUGUUUGGGGAAGAAGAACCCCAUACUGAAAAUGU